AUCAAGAUGUGAUCAGAAGUCA
rnacentral:siRNA from 1 species